rnacentral:rRNA from 1 species
GUAGGUGGCAAGCGUUGUCCGGAAUUAUUGGGCGUAAAGCGCGCGCAGGCGGUUCUUUAAGUCUGAUGUGAAAGCCCACGGCUCAACCGUGGGAGGGUCAUUGGAAACUGGAGAACUUGAGUACAGAAGAGGAAAGCGGAAUUCCACGUGUAGCGGUGAAAUGCGUAGAGAUGUGGAGGAACACCAGUGGCGAAGGCGGCUUUCUGGUCUGUAACUGACGCUGAGGCGCGAAAGCGUGGGGAGCAAACAGGAUUAGAUACCCUGGUAGUCCACGCCGUAAACGAUGAGUGCUAAGUGUUAGGGGGUUUCCGCCCCCCUUAGUGCUGCAGCUAACGCAUUAAGCACUCCGCCUGGGAGUACGGCCGCAAGGCUG